rnacentral:rRNA from 1 species
AAGUAAAAGUCGUAACAAGGUUUCCGUAGGUGAACCUGCGGAAGGAUCAUUAUUGAUUGUGAAUCGUUGCCUCCAGUGCUGGCUCUCGCAAGUGCACGGUUGGUGACUUUCAUCCAACACCCUGUGAACCUUUGGCCUCUUGCUAGCUUCGGCUGGCAGAGGAUUUUUACACACACUCGAAUGUAAUGAAAUUAUUGUCGUGCGCAAGCACUUAUGUACAACUUUCAACAACGGAUCUCUUGGCUCUCGCAUCGAUGAAGAACGCAGCGAAAUGCGAUAAGUAAUGUGAAUUGCAGAAUUCAGUGAAUCAUCGAAUCUUUGAACGCACCUUGCACCCUUUGGCAUUCCGAAGGGUAUGCUCGUUUGAGUGUCAUUGUACUCUCACACUUCUGAUCCUUUGGAUUUGGAGCGGUGGACUUGGGUGUUGCCACUUGACGGUGGCUCACCUCUAAUGCAUUAGUGCAACUCCUGGUUGGACCAUAGUACGGCGUGAUAAGUGUCUUCGCCGGCACCUCGUGAGAGGGUGGCCGAUCGAGAGCUCUGUGCUUUCAAACCGUCCUUGCAAGGACAAUGACUGACAACUUGACCUCAAAUCGAGUAGGACUACCCGCUGAACUUAAGCAUAU